GAACAGGCUCGCGCCUGGGGAAGGUAAAAGGCAGUGGAUCUUUCACAUGGCUUUUUUUUUUCCCUCUCUCGCUCCAUCUCCCCUCCCCUCCUCCAGUCUGUUGCACGGGAGCUGUCGGCCAUGCUGUUCCAGUUCAGGGGCUCCUGCAACAGAAAAGAUCAGCUGUUGGAGAACCCAUGGAAAGCCCUGGGGGAGAGCCAUGGCCGCAAGAGGACCAGGCAAUUCUAGGCACAACUCUAGCAGAUGGUUUUGGUGAUGGAAAGCACAAGGGGAUCGCUCCCAGGAGCUGCUCAGGCAGUUAAGUCAAAAAUGAACUGAUGCAUGUAGCAAACCACGGCCCUGGCCCAGCCAACUCCAGACACUUCCGUCUGCACAGGCAGCCUGUACUGCCCCCAUUUAUACACCCAGCUUUCUCUGCCUUUAAUCAGAAAGUCUUCUGGAAGGAGGGAUUGGCCCUUUCCUGAGCUCCCUGAGCCAGUUCGUGUCAGAGAAAACAGCGUGUGAACUCCUUCAUUCCAGCCAUAUCUCUGCUGGUCCUGCCCAUCACAGCAUCACCCUGACACCCCACCCUGAUGCAAACCUGAUCGUGCUGGAGACCAGGAGAUUAUUUUUUUUAAUGUUUACACAUUUUAAUGUAAAACCUUCACCUUUUGUCCAUGGCAAAUAUUGCCAAAGUCGUGAAGUAAGAAAAGCAAAUUCGUAUUUUGUCAAUAUUAGCCCAAUAAACAAAAUUUGAGAAUUAAAUGCAUUCUGUGCUUAGCAAAUGAAAGUUAAUUUCUGUUACGUGAGAACUGACUUUCUUAACAACAUUUUCCUUGCUUUAGUGAAAUAAUCUAGAGGUAUAUUAGGAAAUACAAAUAUUUUUCAGGAGAACUAUACAUAAUUUAUAGAGAAGCAGAUCUGAAUCAGCUAUAGCAUUGCCCUGAGCCUUCCUACAGUCCACAGGUCUGGAUCUCAGCUGUGCACAUGGAUCUGCUCCCUCUCUCUGAUGGAAACCUCUCCCAGAAACAGUUAAACACAAGAAACCAGAAAUGAUCCAUAAAUUAGGUCUGGCUAUAGGUUCAAAAUCAUAAGUUAUGGCCUAUUGACCUCAUACUCUGAGGGGAAAUCAGAAGCAUUUUUCUAAAGAGCCACCACUGGAGGAAGGGAGGUUUAAUAUAUGGCACAGCAGAGCCCUGCUGCAAAUAAAUACAGCACUGCAUAAUUGCAGGGAAAAUCAAUAAAUAGCAUGGUGGUUAAAAUAAAGAUAUGCAUAUUGAGGGUUUGGGUUUAUAGGUGUGAAUGAUUGUUUCCCCAGAAGCAGAGGAAGACUUUUUCCAGCAUUAAAGCCUCUAAAUACGGCAGAGGCAAUGGCUCCUCCACUAUCCCUUUCACAAGGAGCAAGUUUCAGCUAUUGUCUUUCUCAGAGCAGCUAUCUGGAGUCGUCAUUAUUAGCAUAAUUAAUAAGUGCAGUUUGCUCAUUUGAAAAAUCCCGGCGACUUUUGCCGCUCGGGCGUCACGUCAGCGCAAGACACAAAAAAAUCGCUGUGACAACUGUUUUGCAAGUUCAGGUUUUAUUGACGAGCACCACAAAGAGAUGAAGCCCAGAGCAAGUCCCUUUUCACUUUAAUAUUUAAAUCUCUUUUAAGAGGACGUCAAUAUUAACUCCCGUAACUGAUGCUGACAGGUGACUGUCUGACCAUAAAAAAGACAAGCGAUAGAAUUUAAAAAAAAAAAAUCUAAUAAUGACAACCAUGACGUGCUGGUCAGUGCAGUGAAGGACAGUGGGAUGAGGGAUUGAGGUGUCCUGCAUCCCUUAUCUGUCGAAGUGGACCUGGUGAUGCACCCAGGAAUGGAUGAGACCCUUUGGCCUCAGCUGAUUUUGUUCCCCCAGGUAAAUCCCUGAAUGUCCUGGAUGAGAAACCCAUCCUUGCUCAACCUCAAGACCAGCCAAUGCUUUUAAUAAAUAAAUACCAAUUGUAGCUAGUUAACCUCAGGAUUUCCAGCAUUAAAGAGAUUUCCCACAGGAACCAGAGAGCACUAGAGGAACGGAUAAAUGCAAAGUUCAUGGGAAAGAGCACACGGCCCUUCGCAAAUCCCGAUGUGUGGGGAAAAUACCCAGCAAGUGACUGUGAGACAGGCUCCAAAAAUAGUGAUUUAUUGGACAGAGCUUUCUGAUUUUCAUUGAUCCUGUUCUGAGAAAUGGGUGCAUUGUUUCCACUAAAAUCUGGUCUAAAAGUUGUCAAAAUUUGGAACAAUGUGAAACCAAAUUUUAAUGUAAAGAGUUACAUGACCUCAGUAUGGUUAUUAUUGCUGCUCCAUCUAUAAUCCAGCCAGAAGGGAUUGUUCAGUAGAUCCUCUCCAUUUAUUUAAAUGGAGAUAUAUAGUUUUGCUGCAUUUGAGUUCUAUGCAGAAUAUGUCAUAAAACCAAAACUAGCGUGAUAAUGUGGUUAUUAAAGCUGAUAAAAGUA